UUUCCAGUAGCACCUUAUAGACCAACUAAGUUUGUUCUGGUAUAAGCUUUAGUGUGCAUGCACACUUCUUUCAGAACAAACUUAGUUGGUCUAUAAGGUGCUCCUGGACA